UGUUCAAGGGUGAAGUUCCAAAACAUUGGAGGUCUCCACUGUCCCAGGUACUUGCCUAUACUACCCCACAAACCCUGCCACUCAUAAUUAUCCAGCCUCGGGGCAGAUCUCUGGGUGGUAUUCUUAAAUAGUUUUUUAACCUUAAACAAGACCUGGAACACAUUCAGGAGACAUAGCAAUAGGAACAUGCUGGUUUGAAUAUCCCAAGGAUAUUCCAGAUUCUCAAGAGCUAUUGUAACUAGCCUGGAGGAGAAGGGGAAGAUGAAGCAGCAGGAGAAAGUGUCCC